CUCCAGUGGGCGUCUUGGGCCCCGGCUCUAUUCUGGGCUGCGGGCCUGGGAAGGGCUCGCCGGGUGCCAAAUGAGCUGUCCUAACUCUGCGGGGCUGCAGCUUCCUGCAUGAUGCUGGGGAGCUUGGCGCCUGACCCAGGAUCUAGAAGGCACUCUGGGCAGGCCGCGCUCCGCCCACGAAGGUUUAACCACCAAGGACUCUGAGAGCUGGCAGGUCUGAGUAACCCUGGUAACAAUUCUCUUCACCUUAUCAAAACCUGAGCUAAAACCAAUGCAUCAGCUGAUGAUGACAGCAGAGAGUGGCAGGGCUGAGGACCCAAAGUCAUUUCCCAGGCUGGCGGAGAAUAAACUGCCAGGGAGAAGAAUGAGAAGACAGGAGACAAACUGUUUGGAAAGCUAAAUCUUCCCUCUUAAUGAAUAAAGGUUUUUGCCUUGUCUU
rnacentral:lncRNA from 1 species